GGUUGCUGCCAGACUGGUCGAAAAAUACAACCACAGCUUUUUGAGAACAAGGACCUUAUUGGCCUCUCUGGCACAAGCAAGCUGCCCCAGGAAUGUGGGCCACCAUCUCCAUAGCUGCUUUCUGAACUGGGGAUUGAGAGGUGGCGAUCACAGGGCACGCCCUAAGAAACCUGCACACUAACCUCCCUCUCAGACACUGCUUCUGGAGAGCCCAACCUGUGACCGCUGGGUCAGGAGAGGUCUGAGGAAGAAGAUGCUAAGAUGGGAUUCUGGCUCUGGAUCACCCACUGCCUAGCUGCUGAUAAGGACCCUUUUGCUGGGGGUAGAUGGAGCGGGUACAUGCCCCCGCACAGAGCAGAGGAUGCCAAGACAGGAGGAUUGCUUGAUGCCAAGACAGGAGGAUUGCUUGAGGCCAAGUAUUCAAGACCAGCCUGGGCAACACAGACAUUGCAACAUCCCUGUCUUUACCAAAAAGGAAAAAAUUAGCCAGCCAUGGUGGCAUGCACCUAUGGGCCUAGUUACUCAAGAGGCUGAUGUGGGAAGAUAGCUUGAGCCCAGGAGUUCAAGGUUACAGUGAGCUAUGAUCGCAUCACUGCACUCCAGCCUGGGUGACAGAAUAAGACCACGUCUCAAAAAACAAAGAAACAAACAAACCAGCCUGGGACCUCCUCCCUGCUUUGCUUCCUCUUCAGCAUGUGUGAUCUCUUUGCACAUGCCGAUUCCCCUUUCACAUUCCACCUUGAGCUGAAGCAGCCUGAGACCCUCACCAGA
rnacentral:lncRNA from 1 species